rnacentral:lncRNA from 1 species
UUGUUCUAUGCCUUAGUUGCAUUGAGUUUCAUAACGCCUCUAAAGUUCCAUUUAAAAAAUUACUUCUUUUAACCAUUUCACAUAUCGCUCUUUAUCAAAACUUUGUUGGUUUUUAGCCAUGAUAAAUUAGAUACUAAUAGUAUCAGUGGGAGUAGUGUUUUGGUAAUUUUAAGUAAGUUUGGUAAUUUUAAGAUAAUUUUUUGGUAAGUUACGAUCUUCACUUUUUUCCUACAUUACAUUAAUUUUGUGACCAAACCUCUAAAAUGAAUUUGGCUAAUUGUUAAUACAUUUAUAAAUUUUGUGACCAAACCUCUAAAAUAAAUUUGGCUAAUUGUUAAUACAUUUAUAAAUUUAAGCUUGUCAUACUUUUAGAAUUAUAAAAAAUUAUAGAACUAGAUUAAAUCAGCUUUGAGAUCACAAAUUUUAAUUUCCUUUUGCCCCAUUCCCCGACCCUCAUUGCACAUGACCUAUAUAGGUUUUAUAAAUUACGUUAUGUUUAGUGGUAUAUAUACCACAAAAUGUGACGAUUACAAUAACUUUGAUAACGAGCUUUUACUGUAGAACGUUUGUCAAGGCUUUAUAAUAAUUUACCAUCACCCAUCAAUUGAACCUGUCCAAAACUUUUAACAGUUAGUUUAUAAAUUUAAAUUAAAAAUUUCUGAAUGAUUUUUUUUUUUAUAAAAAAUGUAACUUAAAUAAGUUAUAAUCAGUUGGGUGCAAAAAAAAAGCCACACUAUUUUUUUUUUUAUAUUUUAGGCAUAAAAUGUAUAAUAAUGCAAAACAAAAAAAAAUUAGAUGUGGCAGUGAAAAAUAUAGAUCAGAAAAGAAAACAUCUUACAGAUGUAGAAAUUGGAUGAAUUAUUGAAGCUGCUGACCAAGGAGAGUCUCACAGAAGCAUUGGAAAGCGUUUUAAACGAGAAAACUCAACUAUUAGUAGAUUGGUAAAAAAAAUACAAACACACUGGUAAAACUGAAAGGGCUGUUGGAUUUGGGAGAAAACCGAAAACUUCAAAAAAGGAAGAUCGCUACAUUCUUAAUGCUGUCAAAAAAAAAAUCGUAAAAUCACUUGUUCUGAGAUAAAACUAGAUUUGAACCUUACUAAUAUCUCAAAGUGGACAAUAUCUCGCAGGAUUAAAGAAUUAUUUUUAAAAAUUAUUUCUUUUCUGGAAAGCAAAUUAAAAAAUCUUUUGUUAGUGAAAUCAAUCGAAAAAAGCGUGUAAAGUGGUGCAUUGAGCACAAAGAUUGGACAUGUGAACAAUGGGCUAACGUUAUCUGGAGCAAUGAGUCUCCAUUUUUUUUGUAUUAUAAUGGUCGAUCUCAAUGUUGGACAUUAAUUUGGAAAAAAUUCAAUCCUCAAACGUGCAAGGCAACUAUUAAACAUGACAAAAAGAUUAAUGUCUGGGGUUGUUUUAGUGCACACAAAGUUGGAAAACUUUACCGGGUGAAAGGCAUUAUGGACCAGCAUUUUUAUCACAAAAUUUUAGUUAACCAGCUUGGACCAAGUAUAAAAGAACUUUUUCCUAAUGGUGACUAUAUCUUUCAACAGGAUAAUGAUCCCAAACAAACAGCACGGUUGAAUAAAAGAUAUCUAGAAUCUAAAUUGAUUCCAGUUAUGUCUUGGCCAGCACUGUCUCUUGAUUUAAAUCCAAUAGAAAACCUUUGAUCUAUUUUGGAUAAAAAAUUGCAAGAUUGUAGGGCAACAAAUGAAGAUGACCUGUUCCAAAUUCUUCUUGAUGGUUGGAAUGCUUUGCCAAAUGACUUAUUAAAAAGACUUGUAGAUAGUAUGCCUUCUAGAUGUGCGGAAGUCAUAAGAAACAAAGGAUGGCCAAUUAAAUACUAAAACAGCUUUAACAUAAAAAAUACUUUACAAAUCCUAAUUUCUUUUUAUUAUAUGUAAUAUGCAAUUAUAUUAUAAACAUUUUUAUCAAUAUCGGCUGUAAUAGAAGUAACAUUAUAUGAGUUUUAGACA